GCAAGCCUGACGGAGCAAUACCGCGUGAGGGAGGAAGGCCUUUGGGUUGUAAACCUCUUUUCUUAAGGAAGAAGCUCUGACGGUACUUAAGGAAUCAGCAUCGGCUAACUCCGUGCCAGCAGCCGCGGUAAUACGGAGGAUGCAAGCGUUAUCCGGAAUUAUUGGGCGUAAAGCGUCCGCAGGCGGCAUUAUAAGUCUGCUGUCAAAGACCGCAGCUCAACUGCGGAAAGGCAGUGGAAACUGUAAAGCUAGAGUACGGUAGGGGUAGAGGGAAUUCCCAGUGUAGCGGUGAAAUGCGUAGAUAUUGGGAAGAACACCAGUGGCGAAAGCGCUCUACUGGGCCGUAACUGACGCUCAGGGACGAAAGCUAGGGGAGCG
rnacentral:rRNA from 1 species